GACGAACGCUGGCGGCGUGCUUAACACAUGCAAGUCGAGCGGUAAGGCCCUUCGGGUACGACGAGCGGCGAACGGGUGAGUAACACGUGGGUGACCUGCCCUUAGCUCUGGGAUAAGCCUGGGAAACUGGGUCCAAUACCGGAUAUGACCUCAUGACGCAUGUUGUGGGGUGGAAAGCCUUGUGCGGCUAGGGAUGGGCCCGCGGCCUAUCAGCUUGUUGGUGGGGUGAUGGCCACCAAGGCGACGACGGGUAGCCGGCCUGAGAGGGCGACCGGCCACACUGGGACUGAGACACGGCCCAGACUCCUACGGGAGGCAGCAGUGGGGAAUCUUGCGCAAUGGGCGAAAGCCUGACGCAGCGACGCCGCGUGAGGGAUGACGGCCU
rnacentral:rRNA from 1 species